GACGAACGCUGGCGGCGUGCUUAACACAUGCAAGUCGAACGGAAAGGCCCUGCUUUUGUGGGGUGCUCGAGUGGCGAACGGGUGAGUAACACGUGAGUAACCUGCCCUUGACUUUGGGAUAACUUCAGGAAACUGGGGCUAAUACCGGAUAGGAGCUCCUGCUGCAUUGUGGGGGUUGGAAAGUUUCGGCGGUUGGGGAUGGACUCGCGGCUUAUCAGCUUGUUGGUGGGGUAGUGGCUUACCAAGGCUUUGACGGGUAGCCGGCCUGAGAGGGUGACCGGCGACAUUGGGACUGAGAGACGGCCCAGACUCCUACGGGAGGCAGCAGUGGGGAAUAUUGCACAGUGGGCGGAAGCCUGAUGCAGCAACGCCGCGUGCGGGAUGACGGCCUUCGGGUUGUAAACCGCUUUCGCCUGUGACGAAGCGGGAGUGACGGUAAUGGGUAAAGAAGCACCGGCUAACUACGUG
rnacentral:rRNA from 1 species